rnacentral:rRNA from 1 species
GACGAACGCUGGCGGCGUGCUUAACACAUGCAAGUCGAACGGAAAGGCCCUGCUUUUGUGGGGUGCUCGAGUGGCGAACGGGUGAGUAACACGUGAGUAACCUGCCCUUGACUUUGGGAUAACUUCAGGAAACUGGGGCUAAUACCGGAUAGGAGCUCCUGCUGCAUGGUGGGGGUUGGAAAGUUUCGGCGGUUGGGGAUGGACUCGCGGCUUAUCAGCUUGUUGGUGGGGUAGUGGCUUACCAAGGCUUUGACGGGUAGCCGGCCUGAGAGGGUGACCGGCCACAUUGGGACUGAGAUACGGCCCAGACUCCUACGGGAGGCAGCAGGGGGGAAUAUUGCACAAUGGGCGGAAGCCUGAUGCAGCAGCGCCGCGUGCGGGAUGACGGCCUUCGGGUUGUAAACCGCUUUCGCCUGUGACGAAGCGUGAGUGACGGUAAUGGGUAAAGAAGCACCGGCUAACUACGUG